rnacentral:rRNA from 1 species
UACGGAGGGUGCAGGCGUUAUCCGGAUUUACUGGGUUUAAAGGGUGCGUAGGCGGGCAUGUAAGUCAGUGGUGAAAUACCCGAGCUUCACUUCGGAACUGCCAUUGAUACUAUAUGUUUUGAAUAUUGUGGAGGUAAGCGGAAUAUGUCAUGUAGCGGUGAAAUGCAUAGAUAUGACAUAGAACACCGAUUGCGGAGGCAGCUUGCCACGCAAAUAUUGACGCUGAGGCGCGAAAGCGUGGGGAGCAAACAGG